UGUGGAAGCUGGGAUUCCAAUGGCAGGCAGGAAAUCUUGUAGUAGGUGAUCGUGGCCUUCCUUGGGAUCCCUGUUUCCCCCUUUUAUUCCCUUUUCACCCAGUAAAACCCUGCUUUGCUCACUCUUUAAAGCAUCUGUGAGCGUAAAUUUUUGUGGCCAUGGGAUGGACAAGAACCACAUGUUUACCUGAAGUCCUGUGACAUUUUGGUGUGCAGCAUGGGAGCUCCAAAAGUGAUGCCAGAGGAUGCUAUAGAAAAAUGCGUGCCCUCUUGUAAUACUUUGUUCAAGUUCUGAUCAGAAGGAUGAAUGAUGGAGCCCAAGAAGCCAGAGUCUCAUUGUGUUGCUCAGGCUGGAAUCCAGUGGCAUGAUCUCGGCUCAGUGCAACCUCCGCCUCCUGGGUUCAAGCAGUUCUCCUAGAUCAGCAUCAGCGUCCCGAGUAGCUGGGAUUACAGGCACCCGCCACCAUGCCUGGCUAAUGUUGGUCAGGCUGGCUCGAACUCCUGACCUCAAGAGAUCCACCUGCUUUGGCCUCCCAAAGUGCUCGGAUUACAGGCAUGAGCUGCCACACCCAGCCUCCAAAUACUUUUUUUUUAAAUCAAAAUAAUGAUUUCAAUGACUGAGAUCUGUUAUGUAUUUCAACAUAAUCAUGUUUCAUAAAGAUUUAGUCUUCUGAAA
rnacentral:lncRNA from 1 species